GAGUUUGAUCGUGGCUCAGAUUGAACGCUGGCGGCAUGCCUAACACAUGCAAGUCGAACGGUAACGCGGGGGCAACCCUGGCGACGAGCGGCGAACGGGUGAGUAAUGCAUCGGAACAUGUCCAUGUCGUGGGGGAUAGCCCGGCGAAAGCCGGAUUAAUACCGCAUACGCCCGAGAGGGGAAAGUGGGGGACCGCAAGGCCUCACGCGAUUGGGUUGGCCGAUGUCCGAUUAGCUAGUUGGCGGGGUAAAGGCCCACCAAGGCGAUGAUCGGUAGCUGGUCUGAGAGGAUGAUCAGCCACACUGGGACUGAGACACGGCCCAGACUCCUACGGGAGGCAGCAGUGGGGAAUUUUGGACAAUGGGGGCAACCCUGAUCCAGCCAUUCCGCGUGAGUGAAGAAGGCCUUC
rnacentral:rRNA from 1 species